CUAAACAAUGUGGGCCUACAAACAUUUCACUUUCCUCAUACUACAGUGAAGCUAUAUAUUUAUGUAUUUUAGCUCAUUAAGUGUUGUCUAAGUAAUGUGGCAUGACAGACAGAUCACCUUGAGUGUAACAAAGCAGCUGCUCCAACCCCUCCUCAUGGCCCUAAAGCAAGUAUAGAAGAUGGAUGGAUGGAAGGAAGUUGUCUAAGUUAUCAUUUUUGAGAGCCUACGUCUCAAGCCACACAUUUUCAGACACAAGUAUCGUUUGAGCACUGAAUCUGGAUCAGCUCCUACCCAUGAAGACAUCAAAACUGAUUUAAAAUCAGUUUAAUAGAAAGCUGAAUGGAGGAUCCACAAAUAAACCGAUGCACAGGAAUACAGAGUCUCAGAUUCACAAAAAACUUUCAGAAGGAUGAAAAAAUGUCUAGAAAUCAACACAUGAUGGGAUGCUGGUUGUUGUGGAUAGUGUUA